GGGGAAAUGAACACAAAUUAAAACUCUU
rnacentral:misc_RNA from 1 species